UGGGGAAUAUUGCACAAUGGACGGAAGUCUGAUGCAGCAACGCCGCGUGCGGGAUGACGGCCUUCGGGUUGUAAACCGCUUUUUCUCAUGACGAAGUUUUUUGACGGUAGUGGGGGAAGAAGCACCGGCUAACUACGUGCCAGCAGCCGCGGUGAUACGUAGGGUGCGAGCGUUGUCCGGAAUUAUUGGGCGUAAAGAGCUUGUAGGCGGUUUGUCGCGUCGAUAGUGCAAACUCAGUGCUUAACGCUGAGCCUGCUGUUGAUACGGGCAGACUAGAGGAAGGUAGGGGAGAAUGGAAUUCCCGGUGGAGCGGUAGAAUGCGCAGAUAUCGGGAGGAACACCGGUGGCGAAGGCGGUUCUCUGGGCCUUUCCUGACGCUGAGAAGCGAAAGCGUGGGGAGCGAACAGG
rnacentral:rRNA from 1 species